rnacentral:rRNA from 1 species
GACGAACGCUGGCGGCGUGCCUAAUACAUGCAAGUAGAACGCUGAAGAGAGGAGCUUACUCUUCUUGGAUGAGUUGCGAACGGAUGAGUAACGCGUAGGUAACCUGCCUUGUAGCGGGGGAUAACUAUUGGAAACGAUAGCUAAUACCGCAUAACAAUGGAUGACACAUGUCAUUUAUUUGAAAGGGGCAAUUGCUCCACUACAAGAUGGACCUGCGUUGUAUUAGCUAGUAGGUGAGGUAAUGGCUCACCUAGGCGACGAUACAUAGCCGACCUGAGAGGGUGAUCGGCCACACUGGGACUGAGACACGGCCCAGACUCCCACGGGAGGCAGCCGUAGGGAAACUUCGGCAAUGGGGGCAACCCUGAACGAGCAACGCCGCGUGAGUGAAGAAGGUUUUCGGAUCGUAAAGCUCUGUUGUAAGUCAAGAACGGGUGUGAGAGUGGAAAGUUCACACUGUGACGGUAGCUUACCAGAAAGGGACGGCUAACUACGUG